UAUGUGUGUGUGUGUGUGUGUGUGUGUGUGUGUGUGUGUGUGAGAGUGAGAUCCUCUCUCAGCAGUAAGGAGAACGAGCCAGCCGCCUCCUCGUUUUGGACCUCAUCCAUCGUUUUACAUAAGAGUGAAGAGCCUGUGUAACAAACAGAGGCAGAUGUUUGUGACUCGUCACCGGAGAGCUGAACUGACUCCCACCAGGCCUAAUGGAGCAUUUUAUACCCGGCUGUCAGAAUCAGUGGACUUCCUGCUCGAGGCUUCUUCUCACAGAAAAAUGUCUAUAAAACAACAAUCACAAUGAAGAACGGAGAGAAAGAAAGAAGCUGCAGGGCCGAAACCAAGCCGAGCAACACAAUAAUCAUCAUCACACACUGCACGAUGGAUCGGCCGUGACAGACGCUGGAGGUUCCUGCACAACAAAAAAAAACACAAACAUUUGUGCUGGACAUCAUGACAUACGUCCGUCCCUCGAUACAGCACCCUGGUUGGAGUAGGGAUGUGUGUGUGUGUGUGUGUGUGUGUGUGUGUAGUUCUCCCCAUUCUCCAGCCGGAGGACACACUCUGAAGCGUGACAGGUUGACUUGGUGCUUUGGGAUUGUUGACAAGAGGGAAAAAUGUUGUUUAUUCCCAUCAUUGGGCAAAGAUAAAAAAAAAUGGAAUGGAACAGCAUGUCCGAGCCUGCGGACCUGUCACACAGAAAGUGUGUGUAUGAGGUGUUGGCUCUUUUCCAUCUCGCUGUCUUCCCGAAUGUU